AUUGCUUCUAUCUGCUUCAAGGUUUUCCAUGUUUAAGCAUGAUAAUUUACGUGAGGAAACUGGGUUUGUUCAGGGUAAGAAGUUCUACAAUAAGAUUUGAUUCAUAGGAAAAUGCGUGUGAUGUGUGCCACUGAUUUGGGUCAUCUGCAUGCAAUUCAAAAAGAAAAGAAAGAAUCCAUCUGCAAUAAUUACCAGUCAGACGAUCCACACACUGUUACUUCGUGACAUAGGAGAACUGCUGCACUUCUUGAACCAAUAGCCGCUAUAUAGCAACCAGCAUCAAUCCUGAAUGAAAAAAUUGGCCCAACCACUGGUGAAUGGCACUCAGUAGGUUUCCCAUUGAACUAUGCUGCGAAACAAUGAUGCACAUUGGUAAAUCACCGUGUGCGCCUUUCAGUUCUUAUGCAUAUCCCAUACUGGACAGCUUCCAUUCACUCUGGCACCCACUGCAAACAAAUGUAACUAUGCAUCAGAGAUGAAAGUGAAAAUGCAUAUGUUAAAUCCCAAAUGGAAGCAGAAGAGUGUAAUAUAUACAUAGUUGCUUAGCAACAAACAUGUUUUGGCCACAGGAAUGGUGACAUCAGUCAGAGGAGCCAGAGGGAAGCUGUUCUGCCCUCCCUGUCUCUUUCCGCAGAAGCUUCCUAAAGAUGGUUCCUUAUUUCUUUCAAAGCAGAAGAGGGAGGGCUCUUGUAGGCAAUUUGUUUAUGCUGUUAAUUCAACGAAUGGCAUGACAAUUGGACUUUUAUUUAAGCAGAGAAACCUGUUUUCAUUUUGGGCAUUCUUUGCACCGAUGCACACUUUCCCAUACAGCCAGGUGUUUGAUCCUCACUUUAUGGCUCACUGCAGUCCCUCUUAGCUGAAAUGCUCAGAGAAAUGAAGUGCGAAGUCCGAAACUACAAACUGAUGUAAUUAAAAAAUAUUUUUUGUGUCACUCACUUUGAUUUUGACCGUAUCAUGCCUUUCACUUCUGCUUCUAGCUUUUAUUCUAUGGCAUUUUGCAUUCAUCUGGCUCUGCACUUU